rnacentral:sRNA from 1 species
UAUCGCUGCCCUCUUUGGGCGUUUCCUCCCUAGACUUGGGCCGCUUGCGCCAAUGCAGGCGGCCUUUUUUGUGUAUGCC